rnacentral:rRNA from 1 species
ACACGACUACAUUAGAUACCCCCGUAGUCCUAGCCGUAAACGAUACUCGCUAGGUGUCGGCCACGGUGCGACCGUUGUCGGUGCCGUAGGGAAGCCGUGAAGCGAGCCACCUGGGAAGUACGGCCGCAAGGCUGAAACUUAAAGGAAUUGGCGGGGGAGCACAACAACGGGUGGAGCUUGCGGUUUAAUUGGACGUCAACGCCGGAAAUCUCACCGGGAGCGACAGCAGUGUGAUAGCCAGAUUAAAGGUCUUGCUAGACGAGCUG